rnacentral:rRNA from 1 species
UACGAAGGGGGCUAGCGUUGUUCGGAAUCACUGGGCGUAAAGCGCACGUAGGCGGACUCUUAAGUCGGUGGUGAAAUCCUGGAGCUCAACUCCAGAACUGCCUUCGAUACUGAGAGUCUUGAGUCCGGGAGAGGUGAGUGGAACUGCGAGUGUAGAGGUGAAAUUCGUAGAUAUUCGCAAGAACACCAGUGGCGAAGGCGGCUCACUGGCCCAGUACUGACGCUGAGGUGCGAAAGCGUGGGGAGCAAACAGG